rnacentral:rRNA from 1 species
UGGAGCAUGUGGUUUAAUUCGAAGAUACACGAAGAACCUUACCUGGCCUUGACAUGGUAGGAACCCUUAAGAGAUUAGGGGGUGCUAGCUUGCUAGAACCUACACACAGGUGCUGCACGGCUGUCGUCAGCUCGUGUCGUGAGAUGUUGGGUUAAGUCCCGCAACGAGCGCAACCCUCGUCCUUAGUUGCUAACAGUUCGGCUGAGCACUCUAGGGAGACUGCCUUCGCAAGGAGGAGGAAGGUGAGGACGACGUCAAGUCAUCAUGGCCCUUACGGCCAGGGCUACACACGUGCUACAAUGGGGCGUACAGAGAGCUGCGAUACCGCGAGGUGGAGCCAAUCCCUUAAAGCGUCUCUCAGUUCGGAUUGUUCUCUGCAACUCGAGAACAUGAAGCUGGAAUCACUAGUAAUCGCAGAUCAGCUAUGCUGCGGUGAAUACGUUCCCGGGUCUU